AUUACAGACACCAGGUGCGGCGGCUCUCUCUCCUCUCCGGUGACUCCAGCAGUCAGAGCUGUGAAUGGUGACAAAGGGAUGGACAAAUGACAUUGUGACUCGAACCCCAGGGACUCUGCGCUGUGGAUUCGCGCUAAAGAUUCAGAUGGA